AAGAGCUUGUAGGCGGCUUGUCGCGUCUGCUGUGAAAACCCGGGGCUUAACCCCGGGCUUGCAGUGGGUACGGGCAGGCUAGAGUGUGGUAGGGGAGACUGGAAUUCCUGGUGUAGCGGUGGAAUGCGCAGAUAUCAGGAGGAACACCGAUGGCGAAGGCAGGUCUCUGGGCCAUUACUGACGCUGAGAAGCGAAAGCGUGGGGAGCGAACAGGAUUAGAUACCCUGGUAGUCCACGCCGUAAACGUUGGGCGCUAGGUGUGGGUCCCAUUCCACGGGGUCCGUGCCGCAGCUAACGCAUUAAGCGCCCCGCCUGGGGAGUACGGCCGCAAGGCUAAAACUCAAAGGAAUUGACGGGGGCCCGCACAAGCGGCGGAGCAUGCGGAUUAAUUCGAUGCAACGCGAAGAACCUUACCAAGGCUUGACAUAUACCGGAAACUCCCAGAGAUGGGGGCCCCGCAAGGUCGGUAUACAGGUGGUGCAUGGUUGUCGUCAGCUCGUGUCGUGAGAUGUUGGGUUAAGUCCCGCAACGAGCGCAACCCUCGUUCUAUGUUGCCAGCACGUGAUGGUGGGGACUCAUAGGAGACUGCCGGGGUCAACUCGGAGGAAGGUGGGGAUGACGUCAAAUCAUCAUGCCCCUUACGUCUUGGGCUUCACGCAUGCUACAAUGGCCGGUACAGAGGGCUGCGAAACCGUGAGGUGGAGCGAAUCCCUUAAAGCUGGUCUCAGUUCGGAUUGGGGUCUGCAACUCGACCCCAUGAAGUCGGAGUCGC
rnacentral:rRNA from 1 species